CAUUGGGGUGAUGAAAUCCGAUUCAGAAGAUACAAUGUUGAUUUUAAAAAUCAGACUACAAUUAUCUGAUCAAUG